rnacentral:misc_RNA from 1 species
CCUUGCCUAAAAACCCUUUAUGGGAGAAGGGAGCCCAAAGAGGGGCUAGGGACUGGGUAGAAAAAAUAAAAAGGGAGACGUACCGGAGGGGGUGUGUGGGUCUUUUCCUUUUUUGAAGAAGUUUACCCCCUCACCUUGGGAGCAAAAAGCAAAUAGAGAGAAGUCGGCCAACCAAAAUGUCUAUUAAGGGUUUAGCUUUCAGGCUAAAAAUUAGAAUUCUUUCACACUAUUGCCUAAUGGAGGUAAAAGGCAAGGGCAUUUACCUCCCCUGUUUAAAGCGCACCCCUGAGGGGGUGAGGCCUCUGGUUCCACCCCAAAAUGGCCCACCAAACCAAAAAAGCCUAAGAGAAGGAUAAACUCUUCUCAUCCUGCCUGAUGGUACUUAAAUGUUAUGAUGAAAGUUUACCAUAAAAAACCUUUAAU